rnacentral:rRNA from 1 species
AUUGAACGCUGGCGGCAUGCUUUACACAUGCAAGUCGAACGGUAACAGGCCUUCGGGUGCUGACGAGUGGCGUACGGGUGAGUAAUGCACCGGAACGUGCCCAGAGGCGGGGGAUAACGCAGCGAAAGCUGUGCUAAUACCGCAUGUGAUCUGAGGAUGAAAGCGGGGGACCAGGCAGCAAUGUUUGGCCUCGCGCCUUUGGAGCGGCCGAUGUCAGAUUAGGUAGUUGGUGGGGUAAAGGCCUACCAAGCCGACGAUCUGUAGCUGGUCUGAGAGGACGACCAGCCACACUGGCACUGAGACACGGCCCAGACUCCUGCAGGAGGCAGCAGUGGGGAAUCUUGGACAAUGGGCGCAAGCCUGAUCCAGCAAUGCCGCGUGAGGGAAGAAGGCCUUCGGGUUGUAAACCGCUUUUGUACGGAACGAAAAGGCUCUGGCUAAUACCUGGGGCUGAUGACGGUACCGUAAGAAUAAGCACCGGCUAACUACGUG